UGGGGAAUAUUGCGCAAUGGGGGGAACCCUGACGCAGCCAUGCCGCGUGAAUGAAGAAGGCCUUAGGGUUGUAAAGUUCUUUCGGUAUUGAGGAAGGUUGAUGUGUUAAUAGCACAUCAAAUUGACGUUAAAUACAGAAGAAGCACCGGCUAACUCCGUGCCAGCAGCCGCGGUAAUACGGAGGGUGCGAGCGUUAAUCGGAAUAACUGGGCGUAAAGGGCACGCAGGCGGUUAUUUAAGUGAGGUGUGAAAGCCCCGGGCUUAACCUGGGAAUUGCAUUUCAGACUGGGUAACUAGAGUACUUUAGGGAGGGGUAGAAUUCCACGUGUAGCGGUGAAAUGCGUAGAGAUGUGGAGGAAUACCGAAGGCGAAGGCAGCCCCUUGGGAAUGUACUGACGCUCAUGUGCGAAAGCGUGGGGAGCAAACAGGAUUAGAUACCCUGGUAGUCCACGCUGUAAACGCUGCCGAUUUGGGGGUUGGGGUUUAACUCUGGCGCCCGUAGCUAACGUGAUAAAUCGACCGCCUGGGGAGUACGGCCGCAAGGUUA
rnacentral:rRNA from 1 species